CGCCGCCGCUGUUUCUAGCCGGGGCGGUUUUGGCGGGCGCCGGCGGAAGCGGAAGAGGCGGCGGGGCGGGAUGGAGGAGCCCGAGAUGCAGCUGAAGGUGAAGAAAGUUACGGACAAAUUCACAGAGAGCAUGUACGUCCUGGCCAACGAGCCCUCCGUGGCACUGUACCGGCUGCAGGAGCACGUGCGGAGAUCCCUUCCAGAGCUCGCACAGCACAAGUCCGACAUGCAGAGCUGGGAGGAGCAAAGCCAAGGAGCCAUCUACACAGUGGAGUAUGCCUGCAGUGCCAUAAAGAACAUGACUGACAGCAGCGUGUACUUCAAGAGCAUUGACAGCCUGCUCAAACAAGCCAUAGCCAUGAAGGAUCAGCUGAAUGCUGCUCAGGGCCGCAGGUAGCAAGGGGAUGUGACAUUGCCUAUUUAUCUGAGUGACCGUUCUGGCUGGCAGAGGCUUUGGUGAUGUAAUGCAGCCCAGUGCAAAUACGCCAAGCAGUUGUCUCGCACUGUUGCCCCACAAGCCAAGAAUCCUCCAGCCAGUUCCUGAUUUCUGACAAGACUGGCCGUCCUCUGCUGCCUUCUCCAGCCCAGCUCUAUGUUCUUCAGCCACGGGGAGGAGUGAGAAACCAUCUGCUCAAUCUGUGAAGCUGCACAGAGGCCUCUGCCUGCCUCUCCGUUCCCAGUAACGAGGUGCUGCACCUGAGCAGGCAAAUCCUGCCACUGGGGUCAGGACCGCCUUUGGGGGGUGCUUUGGGGAGCAGUUGUCCCUUUCCGCAGCACUCUGCAAAAGAGAAAUUGGGUGGUUCUGCAUUUGUCCUUUCCAGUUCUUUUCGAUGGCACAUUGCUAUAAGGCAUUUUUCUCUCUACCUCUUGGCCACAGAAAUAUCUCAGAAAAACUAGGUCUUGCUUUCAGUAUUUUGUAGAUGACUGUGUAAAGAUGUAAUGUAGGCACACUUCAGCUUUGUUCAGGAGGCAUUCUGCAAGGAGAGCUUUUCGUAUGUGUGCCAGGGAGUUGCUGAAUUUGGUUUUAGUGAGAACAAUAAUAAAAAGGAAGAACAAGAAA